UGCCUAGGAAGUUGCCCAGUAGAGGGGNAUAACCAUUGGAAACGAUGGCUAAUACCGCAUAUUCUCUUUGGAGCAAAGCAGGGGACCUUCGGGCCUUGCGCUAUUGGAUACGCCUAGGUGGGAUUAGCUAGUUGGUGAGGUAAUGGCUCACCAAGGCAACGAUCCCUAGCUGGUCUGAGAGGAUGAUCAGCCACACUGGAACUGAGACACGGUCCAGACUCCUACGGGAGGCAGCAGUGGGGAAUAUUGCACAAUGGGCGAAAGCCUGAUGCAGCCAUGCCGCGUGUAUGAAGAAGGCCUUCGGGUUGUAAAGUACUUUCAGUCGUGAGGAAGGGGGUAAGCUUAAUACGCUUAUCUCUUGACGUUAGCGACAGAAGAAGCACCGGCUAACUCCGUGCCAGCAGCCGCGGUAAUACGGAGGGUGCGAGCGUUAAUCGGAAUUACUGGNCGNANAGCGCAUGCAGGUGGUUCAAUAAGUCAGAUGUGAAAGCCCGGGGCUCAACCUCGGAACUGCAUUUGAAACUGUUGGACUANAGUACUGUANAGGGGGGUAGAAUUUC
rnacentral:rRNA from 1 species